GGCUUGGUGGUCUAGUGGUAUGAUUCGCGCUUAGGGAAAAACCCUACAGCAAUGCUUGCGCGAGGUCCCGGGUUCAAUCCCCGGCCAAGCCC